rnacentral:rRNA from 1 species
AACGAACGCUGGCGGCAGGCCUAACACAUGCAAGUCGAGCGAGGACUUCGGUCCUAGCGGCGGACGGGUGAGUAACGCGUGGGAACGUGCCCUUUGCUUCGGAAUAGCCCUGGGAAACUGGGAGUAAUACCGGAUGAGCCCUUUGGGGGCAAGAUUUAUCGGCGAAGGAUCGGCCCGCGUUGGAUUAGGUAGUUGGUGGGGUAAUGGCCUACCAAGCCGACGAUCCAUAGCUGGUUUGAGAGGAUGAUCAGCCACACUGGGACUGAGACACGGCCCAGACUCCUACGGGAGGCAGCAGUGGGGAAUCUUAGACAAUGGGGGAAACCCUGAUCUAGCCAUGCCGCGUGAGCGAUGAAGGCCUUAGGGUUGUAAAGCUCUUUCAGCUGGGAAGAUAAUGACGGUACCAGCAGAAGAAGCCCCGGCUAACUCCGUG